rnacentral:misc_RNA from 1 species
GUGAAUCAUCAAAUCUUUGAACGCAAAUUGCACUCUCUUCUGAUAUUAGGCCUGUUUGAGGGUCAGUGUUAAUAAAAAUCGGUGUGUUUCUUCUUUUUGACUCUCCGUAGUUUGGGUCAUCUUAAUAUCCUUAAGGUUUUAAGAGGCUUAAAAUUGACUUUUUUUGCGCAUUGUAUUUGUAUAUAAAUUCUUUUUUUUAUUCGUCUAUUCUUAAUGCCAAGAUCUUAUUAGAUUCGAUCACAUCGUGUUGUUUCGUGUCCAUAAAAUUUUCAUGAUUUGACCUCAAAUCAGGUAGGAUUA